CCACGCCAAGGACGUCACGGCCCCGCCCAGCAACCAUUGAGUUUCGGAGCCAGCGGGCGAGUCUGCAGCCUAGAGCGGCCCUGGAAAGUAAAAAGAUGCCGUUUUGGAAACGGAAGUGAGUGUGACGUCAUCCACAAGCGGCCUCUGAAGGGAGAGCGGGGAAUGUUGUGCUGUGUCUGUGGAGCUCUGGAACAAACUUCAGAGCCUCUUCCCAACUACCAGUGUUUUUCAGACAUAACAAAAUACGCAUCAUCUGAUCUAAGAAGCCGGAAAUCCCGCCCCCUUUUCCUGGCGCUUCCCGAUGACGUCCCCACACAAGGGGAAAGCCUUCUGGUCUGAAAAACAGCGCGGUCGGGAAGAAAGCUGGUAGCUGGCCUUGAGGCCAUGCCCACGGCCUCUUAACAGGGUGUGCUUGUAGCUGGUUUUAG